UAGCCUUGACAUACUACAGAAUUUGACAGAGAUGUUGGAGUGCCUUCGGGAGCUGUAAUACAGGUGCUGCACGGCUGUCGUCAGCUCGUGUCGUGAGAUGUUGGGUUAAGUCCCGCAACGAGCGCAACCCUCGUCCUUAGUUACUAACGGUUCGGCCGAGGACUCUAAGGAGACUGCCUUCGUAAGGAGGAGGAAGGUGAGGACGACGUCAAGUCAUCAUGGCCCUUACGGCUAGGGCAACACACGUGCUACAAUGGUUAGGACAAUGAGAAGCGAUACCGCGAGGUGGAGCAAAUCUAUAAACCUAAUCUCAGUUCGGAUAGCAGUCUGCAACUCGACUGCUUGAAGCUGGAAUCACUAGUAAUCGUAAAUCAGCUAUGUUACGGUGAAUACGUUACGGGGUCU
rnacentral:rRNA from 1 species